rnacentral:rRNA from 1 species
UACGUAGGGUGCGAGCGUUAAUCGGAAUUACUGGGCGUAAAGCGUGCGCAGGCGGUUUGUUAAGCCAGAUGUGAAAGCCCCGGGCUCAACCUGGGAACUGCAUUUGUGACUGCAUUGCUGGAGUGCGGCAGAGGGGGAUGGAAUUCCGCGUGUAGCAGUGAAAUGCGUAGAUAUGCGGAGGAACACCGAUGGCGAAGGCAAUCCCCUGGGCCUGCACUGACGCUCAUGCACGAAAGCGUGGGGAGCAAACAGG